rnacentral:rRNA from 1 species
GACGAACGCUGGCGGCGUGCUUAACACGUGCAAGUCGAACGGAAAGGCCCUGCUUUUGUGGGGUGCUCGAGUGGCGAACGGGUGAGUAACACGUGAGUAACCUGCCCUUGACUUUGGGAUAACUUCAGGAAACUGGGGCUAAUACCGGAUAGGAGCUCCUGCUGCAUGGUGGGGGUUGGAAAGUUUCGGCGGUUGGGGAUGGACUCGCGGCUUAUCAGCUUGUUGGUGGGGUAGCGGCUUACCAAGGCUUUGACGGGUAGCCGGCCUGAGAGGGUGACCGGCCACAUUGGGACUGAGAUACGGCCCAGACUCCUACGGGAGGCAGCAGUGGGGAAUAUUGCACAAUGGGCGGAAGCCUGAUGCAGCAACGCCGCGUGCGGGAUGACGGCCUUCGGGUUGUAAACCGCUUUCGCCUGUGACGAAGCGUGAGUGACGGUAAUGGGUAAAGAAGCACCGGCUAACUACGUG